UACGAGGGGGGCUAGCGUUGCUCGGAAUCACUGGGCGUAAAGCGCACGUAGGCGGCUUUUUAAGUCAGAGGUGAAAUCCUGGAGCUCAACUCCAGAACUGCCUUUGAUACUGGAGAGCUUGAGUCCGGGAGAGGUGAGUGGAACUGCGAGUGUAGAGGUGAAAUUCGUAGAUAUUCGCAAGAACACCAGUGGCGAAGGCGGCUCACUGGCCCGGUACUGACGCUGAGGUGCGAAAGCGUGGGGAGCAAACAGG
rnacentral:rRNA from 1 species